CCUGGCUCAGGAUGAACGCUAGCUACAGGCUUAACACAUGCAAGUCGAGGGGCAUCAGGAAGAAAGCUUGCUUUCUUUGCUGGCGACCGGCGCACGGGUGAGUAACACGUAUCCAACCUGCCCUUUACUCGGGGAUAGCCUUUCGAAAGAAAGAUUAAUACCCGAUAGCAUAAUGAUUCCGCAUGGUUUCAUUAUUAAAGGAUUCCGGUAAAGGAUGGGGAUGCGUUCCAUUAGGUUGUUGGUGAGGUAACGGCUCACCAAGCCUUCGAUGGAUAGGGGUUCUGAGAGGAAGGUCCCCCACAUUGGAACUGAGACACGGUCCAAACUCCUACGGGAGGCAGCAGUGAGGAAUAUUGGUCAAUGGGCGCUAGCCUGACCCAGCCAAGUAGCGUGAAGGAUGAAGGCUCUAUGGGUCGUAAACUUCUUUUAUAUAAGAAUAAAGUGCAGUAUGUAUACUGUUUUGUAUGUAUUAUAUGAAUAAGGAUCGGCUAACUCCGUGCCAGCAGCCGCGGUAAUACGGAGGAUCCGAGCGUUAUCCGGAUUUAUUGGGUUUAAAGGGAGCGUAGGUGGACUGGUAAGUCAGUUGUGAAAGUUUGCGGCUCAACCGUAAAAUUGCAGUUGAUACUGUCAGUCUUGAGUACAGUAGAGGUGGGCGGAAUUCGUGGUGUAGCGGUGAAAUGCUUAGAUAUCACGAAGAACUCCGAUUGCGAAGGCAGCUCACUGGACUGCAACUGACACUGAUGCUCGAAAGUGUGGGUAUCAAACAGGAUUAGAUACCCUGGUAGUCCACACAGUAAACGAUGAAUACUCGCUGUUUGCGAUAUACAGUAAGCGGCCAAGCGAAAGCAUUAAGUAUUCCACCUGGGGAGUACGCCGGCAACGGUGAAACUCAAAGGAAUUGACGGGGGCCCGCACAAGCGGAGGAACAUGUGGUUUAAUUCGAUGAUACGCGAGGAACCUUACCCGGGCUUAAAUUGCAGUGGAAUGAUGUGGAAACAUGUCAGUGAGCAAUCACCGCUGUGAAGGUGCUGCAUGGUUGUCGUCAGCUCGUGCCGUGAGGUGUCGGCUUAAGUGCCAUAACGAGCGCAACCCUUAUCUUUAGUUACUAACAGGUCAUGCUGAGGACUCUAGAGAGACUGCCGUCGUAAGAUGUGAGGAAGGUGGGGAUGACGUCAAAUCAGCACGGCCCUUACGUCCGGGGCUACACACGUGUUACAAUGGGGGGUACAGAAGGCAGCUAGCGGGUGACCGUAUGCUAAUCCCAAAAUCCUCUCUCAGUUCGGAUCGAAGUCUGCAACCCGACUUCGUGAAGCUGGAUUCGCUAGUAAUCGCGCAUCAGCCACGGCGCGGUGAAUACGUUCCCGGGCCUUGUACACACCGCCC
rnacentral:rRNA from 1 species